rnacentral:snRNA from 1 species
CCUCAGCGACGGACCGGG